CCUACGGGAGGCUGCAGUGGGGAAUAUUGGACAAUGGGCGAAAGCCUGAUCCAGCCAUGCCGCGUGUGUGAAGAAGGCCUUCGGGUUGUAAAGCACUUUCAGUGGGGAAGAAAGCCUUGGGGCUAAUACCCUCGAGGAAGGACAUCACCCACAGAAGAAGCACCGGCUAACUCCGUGCCAGCAGCCGCGGUAAUACGGAGGGUGCGAGCGUUAAUCGGAAUUACUGGGCGUAAAGCGCGCGUAGGCGGUCUGAUAAGCCGGUUGUGAAAGCCCCGGGCUCAACCUGGGAACGGCAUCCGGAACUGUCCGGCUAGAGUGCAGGAGAGGAAGGUAGAAUUCCCGGUGUAGCGGUGAAAUGCGUAGAGAUCGGGAGGAAUACCAGUGGCGAAGGCGGCCUUCUGGACUGACACUGACGCUGAGGUGCGAAAGCGUGGGUAGCAAACAGGAUUAGAUACCCCAGUAGUC
rnacentral:rRNA from 1 species